AUGAAUCGCUCACAUUUUCUUUUGCUUCUUCUUUCAUCCAUCCUCUUUCUCUCAUUUGCUUGUGGUUUUGGGAGAGUUGCAAUGAUGGAGACAAUUGAAGAUGAACAUUCUUUUAAACAACUCAUGGAUGGUGAUAGGAAAAUGAGUGAAGUGUAUGAAAUAAUGGAUUAUUCAGAGCCUGAGCCAAAUACCAAUCCCAAGAGUGGCUAUGCUUUAACACCUCCACCAGCAACUAUUGUUUCUCCACCACCUCAAUCUUAA